GAUGAACGCUGGCGGCGUGCCUAAUACAUGCAAGUCGAGCGAACGGACGAGAAGCUUGCUUUUCUGAUGUUAGCGGCGGGCGGGUGAGUAACACGUGGAUAACCUACCUAUAAGACUGGGAUAACUUCGGGAAACCGGAGCUAAUACCGGAUAAUAUUUUGAACCGCAUGGUUCAAAAGUGAAAGACGGUCUUGCUGUCACUUAUAGAUGGAUCCGCGCUGCAUUAGCUAGUUGGUAAGGUAACGGCUUACCAAGGCAACGAUGCAUAGCCGACCUGAGAGGGUGAUCGGCCACACUGGAACUGAGACACGGUCCAGACUCCUACGGGAGGCAGCAGUAGGGAAUCUUCCGCAAUGGGCGAAAGCCUGACGGGGCAACGCCGCGUGAGUGAUGAAGGUCUUCGGAUCGUAAAACUCUGUUAUUAGGGAAGAACAUAUGUGUAAGUAACUGUGCACAUCUUGACGGUACCUAAUCAGAAAGCCACGGCUAACUACGUG
rnacentral:rRNA from 1 species